GGAGGGAUGGCAGAGCGGUCGAAUGCGGCGGUCUUGAAAACCGUUGUCUCGGGCAACCGGGACCGGGGGUUCGAAUCCCUCUCCCUCCG
rnacentral:tRNA from 1 species